rnacentral:tRNA from 1 species
GCCUGGCUGGCUUAGUCAGUAGAGCAUGCAAUCUUGAUCUUGGGGUCAUGGGUUCAAGUCCCAUGUCUGGUG